rnacentral:lncRNA from 1 species
AUCGAAAAAGAAUUUAGAGAUCACUAUUCCUGACUUUCUGUAUAAGUAUAAAAUAUUCUCCAAAUAUUUUUCUUUUCGAAUUUAUUAAACAAAUAUAGGCCUAAUUUAGCUUUUUCUUCUUUAAAUUUUUAUCAUAUCUUUGGCUAAAGACUACUGCUGUCAAUAGUUGAUAGCCCGUAUAUCAAACAAGAAUCGAAAAAGAGCAUGCACAUUCUUUCUUCAUUCCAUUCAACUAUGUACGCCUUAACAUUCAAAGGAAAAGGAACGGAACAAUUCCUUUCCUUUCGCUUUUCCGUUCUGACGAAUUAUGAACCGAUCUUAAUAGUUCAAAAGUUUCAGGAUAAGCUGGUAGUCGGGAAAAAGUUGAAUUUAAGUAAUUUUUUCAUUUUAAAUUACUGUGUAUCAUUAAAUAUCUAAGUUAUGCACUAUUAGAUUAUGGCUUCAAAUAAAUCCGUUUUAAAAAAUAGAACUAAUAUCAUAAUGAUGCUUUUGCGUGACUUUAGGAGUUCAUACGAAAUUUUAAGCGAUUUAAAGAAGAAAUCU